rnacentral:lncRNA from 1 species
AUAAUAUAUUUUCAAGUAACCAACAUGUAGUAGGCACUUACUAUAACCCUGUCUUCCUUUCACCCUUUAGAUGGGAGAGUCUUAAGUGUAUCUCCAUGUUGAAAGAGGGAACCAGUGGAAAUGAAAGAGAACUUAUUAUUGAUGGGACAUGGUCUCAGAGGAAUCUGAAUGGGAUGAUAUCAGUGGAAAGUAAAAGGAUUAGCUUUAGACAAAAAGAGGAACAAUACUUUCUAUGAGAAAAAGAAGGAGAAAGAAAGGCAGGAUUUAAAGAAAGACAAAUUUACAGGCAUGGAGUGGGAAGAUCAGGAAGUUCACACCUGUCGGCCUCUGUUUCCUCUGACAUAACAAAGGAGUUACUGUUCAAGAACCAAGAGUUGAAGAAUACAGGUAGUCAGGGACAUGGGAGACUGGAGAAGUCCCUGAGAGGGAAAGGCUGCUGAGAAGCCUGAGGACACAGCUUGGAUGGGAGGCCAAUUUGUGAGGGUCAAGUUUGCAACCUGGAAGACUGAAAUUAGCAAUGGUCGAGGCUGCAGUAAAAUUAACAUCAAGCAUAUCUAGCAGGCUAUACCAGGUUUAUAGCAACAGGAACUGUGGGUUUGGAGAAAGAAGUCUUCCCAUAGUAGAACAGAAGCCCAGUUAUCAACCACCAUGCUCAAGCAGCUCAAAGCAGAUUUUGGAGCAGAAAUCUUCAAGUACUGGCAAAAAAGAGCGAGAGCUUUUUGGGAGAUGAAGUUUGCUGAUUUUUGCCAGUGUUCUUCAAAUUGAUGAAACACACAGAGAAGACAAGGCUACUCGGAGAACAGAGGAUUCCAGAAAAGUUCUUGAUCUUAAUGCAGAAAAGAAGAUCCCAUUAGUCCAAAGCAGCCAAUUUGCUUCAUGCUAUCAUCUGAUCUACUUUUUGAUUAAAUAUAAUACAAUAAAAUAGAGUUAAGAAUUCCACAAGGCACUGCACACACCAUAUGAACAGGUCUGCCUCGUUCUAGCCCCAGCCUCGGUCUGCUGAAGAUUAUCACAGCAGAAAUCAGGCUCUGUGGCUUUCACAGAUUAUCUCUUUCUGAGGCUGAAACACAUAAAGAGCCACAUGACACCCAAUGAUGUCAUCUCUAAAGCAGGUCACAGUUGCUGCUGUAUGUAGAUAAAGUCCUUCUACUGAAGUAUUUAGCAUAGUGAUUUUCUUGAAAAUCUACUUGCAUUAGAUAGCAUGGUCUUCUAUGAAAAUACUUAACCCCAUCGAUACAGUGCCAUGAAGAGAAAAUCAAUUUGCUGCUCAUACGUGAGAUAAGUCUUCCUUUAAGCUAAGAUCAGCUUCUAGUGCUGCUUUAAAAAAUGAAUAACUGCAAUUAAUUUGUGGUGAAUAUAGUGAAGAAGGGCUUUUCCCUGGAGAAGCUGCUGUGGGAACUAGAGGGUCUCUAAGGAUACAGAAUCUACUUCUAAA